rnacentral:lncRNA from 1 species
GAGGGGGAGUGAGGGGUCGGGAGUGAGGAAGAGAGAGGGAGCGCACAGGGUGGAUAAGGCGGGUUGGCGACGACGACAGGCUCGGGGCGACGGUGACGGCAAGGAGGAGGACGUGCUCGGGGGCAACGGCGAUGACGACGAGGAGGACGGGCUCGUGGUGGCGGCGAUGAUGAGGAGGACGACGGGCUCGGGACGGCAGCGACAACGAGGAGGAUGGGCUCAGGGAAAAUGAGAGAGUUUGGGGGGAAUUUCGACAACUCCCGCCUAUAUGCGAAAACCAGUUGUCCCGGUUCGAGGCAAAAACUGAGACCAAUGUACCCCUAUCAUCCCGGUUUGUGCUGCAAACCGGGACUAAAGGCCAAUUUCCAGCAGCCGAAAGGGCAGGAAGAAGAGACC